UACGGAAGGCAGCAGUGGGGAAUAUUGGACAAUGGGCGGAAGCCUGAUCCAGCCAUGCCGCGUGUGUGAAGAAGGCCUUUUGGUUGUAAAGCACUUUAAGCGAGGAGGAGGCUCUCCUAGUUAAUACCUAGGAAGAGUGGACGUUACUCGCAGAAUAAGCACCGGCUAACUCUGUGCCAGCAGCCGCGGUAAUACAGAGGGUGCGAGCGUUAAUCGGAUUUACUGGGCGUAAAGCGUGCGUAGGCGGCUGAUUAAGUCGGAUGUGAAAUCCCUGAGCUUAACUUAGGAAUUGCAUUCGAUACUGGUCAGCUAGAGUAUGGGAGAGGAUGGUAGAAUUCCAGGUGUAGCGGUGAAAUGCGUAGAGAUCUGGAGGAAUACCGGAUGGCGAAGGCAGCCAUCUGGCCUAAUACUGACGCUGAGUACGAAAGCAUGGGGA
rnacentral:rRNA from 1 species